rnacentral:rRNA from 1 species
GCGUUGUCCGGAUUUACUGGGUGUAAAGGGUGCGCAGGCGGACUUAUAAGUCAGGGGUGAAAUCUCGCUGCUCAACAGCGAAACUGCCUUUGAUACUGUAGGUCUUGAAUUAGGGAGAGAUUCGUGGAAUUCCGAGUGUAGCAGUGAAAUGUGUAGAUAUUCGGAAGAACACCAGAGGCGAAGGCAGCGAAUUGGCCCUAUAUUGACGCUCAGGCACGAAAGCAUG